rnacentral:rRNA from 1 species
GGGUUGUGAGGUUAAGCGACUAAGCGUACACGGUGGAUGCCCUGGCAGUCAGAGGCGAUGAAGGGCGUGCUAAUCUGCGAUAAGCGCCGGUAAGGUGAUAUGAACCGUUAUAACCGGCGAUACCCGAAUGGGGAAACCCAGUGUGACUCGUCACACUAUCAUUAACUGAAUCCAUAGGUUAAUGAGGCGAACCGGGGGAACUGAAACAUCUAAGUACCCCGAGGAAAAGAAAUCAACCGAGAUUCCCCCAGUAGCGGCGAGCGAACGGGGAGGAGCCCAGAGCCUGAAUCAGCAUGUGUGUUAGUGGAAGCGUCUGGAAAGGCGCGCGAUACAGGGUGACAGCCCCGUACACAAAAGCGCAUGUGCUGUGAGCUCGAUGAGUAGGGCGGGACACGUGGUAUCCUGUCUGAAUAUGGGGGGACCAUCCUCCAAGGCUAAAUACUCCUGACUGACCGAUAGUGAACCAGUACCGUGAGGGAAAGGCGAAAAGAACCCCGGCGAGGGGAGUGAAAAAGAACCUGAAACCGUGUACGUACAAGCAGUGGGAGCCCCACCACCAAAGCAUUCUCUGGUGUUGAAGGCCCUGCAAAGCAGCAUCGCGGUGGCGGAGCGUCGUUUGCGACGCCCAACACACAAAACAAGCGGUGAAUGCUUUGGGGUGGGGUGACUGCGUACCUUUUGUAUAAUGGGUCAGCGACUUAUAUUCUGUAGCAAGGUUAACCGAAUAGGGGAGCCGGAGGGAAACCGAGUCUUAAUUGGGCGUUAAGUUGCAGGGUAUAGACCCGAAACCCGGUGAUCUAGCCAUGGGCAGGUUGAAGGUUGGGUAACACUAACUGGAGGACCGAACCGACUAAUGUUGAAAAAUUAGCGGAUGACCUGUGGCUGGGGGUGAAAGGCCAAUCAAACCGGGAGAUAGCUGGUUCUCCCCGAAAGCUAUUUAGGUAGCGCCUCGUGAAUUCAUCUCCGGGGGUAGAGCACUGUUUCGGCUAGGGGGCCAUCCCGGCUUACCAACCCGAUGCAAACUGCGAAUACCGGAGAAUGUUAUCACGGGAGACACACGGCGGGUGCUAACGUCCGUCGUGAAGAGGGAAACAACCCAGACCGCCAGCUAAGGUCCCAAAGUCAUGGUUAAGUGGGAAACGAUGUGGGAAGGCCCAGACAGCCAGGAUGUUGGCUUAGAAGCAGCCAUCAUUUAAAGAAAGCGUAAUAGCUCACUGGUCGAGUCGGCCUGCGCGGAAGAUGUAACGGGGCUAAACCAU